UUGUCAGAAUGUCUGAUAAAGUGAUAACUCUCGUCGUCACUCACAGUUUUCACACUACUUUGUACUUUGUAUCUGCGUACUGUAGUUUAUUUUAUUCUGUAACUGUGACCUAGCAGUAUACGGUGUACAACAUCAAGAUCAGCCUCACACCAAAAUUUAAAUUGAUAUUAAACAUAUGAGAAAGCUAGAAGUAAAUUACCAUAAUAUGACAAUAAUGAUGAUGAUAAAAGCUCGAAUAUUGAAAACCGGGGUCGUGGAACUCGUAAAAAGAAACCCAAUAUUGGAAAAGGAAUUCAGAUUCAGAAUGAGAUUCACCAUCAAUGAUAACUAUGCCAGAACCAGAAACCAAACCAGCUACUUGGAUAAGAUCCCUU